rnacentral:rRNA from 1 species
UGGAGGUAGUGACAAUAAAUCACAAUGCGGAACAAUGUUUUGCAAUUGGAUUGAGAACAACGUACAAACCUUAUCGAUAAACAAUUGGAGGGCAAGUCUGGUGCCAGCAGCCGCGGUAAUUCCAGCUCCAAUAGCGUAUAUUAACGUUGUUGCAGUUAAAAAGCUCGUAGUUGAAAUGAAGGGUAGUUGUGUAAUGAAUACAUUCGUGUAUUUUGUUAUUCUACUACCCUCCUUCUAAAUUCGAUAUAUGAGUAUUAAUUUACUUGUAUAUGGUUUUAGACGUUUACUGUGAGAAAAUUAGAGUGUUCAAAGCAGGCAUUUGCUUGAAUAUAUUAGCAUGGAAUAAUCAUGUAUGAUUUUCAUGAUGUAUUUGAUUGGUUUGGUUCAUGAGAAUAAGAUUAAAAGGGACAGUUGGGGGUAUUCAUAUUCAAUAGUCAGAGGUGAAAUUCUCGGAUUUAUGGAAGAUGAACAAGUGCGAAAGCAA